rfam:Caldimicrobium thiodismutans DNA, complete genome.
GGGCCGCUAACUCAGACGGUAGAGUACCAGCCUUUUAAGCUGGGAGUCGCAGGUUCGAGUCCUGCGCGGCCCA